ACCCGGAGGCCGAGGUCCUGCGGUUGAGCCGCCGCGCAUCCCACCCAGGCGCGGGAGCCGCGGGCCAGCAAUGCUGUGGGGAGGCCGAGGAGGCGCGCAGGGCUCCCUGGCCGACUGAGGUCCAGCUUGGGGAACCUGCGGAAGUGACCAGAGUGGCAGAACUCGGGGACAUAGAAGUCGAAGGGACCCAAUCUCCGAGGAGUUGAGAUCGGUCUCGCUGGGGUCGAUGGCUGCUACCUAGAUUCAUUUGGUUCGGCAAAUGUUCAUUGAAGGCAGUCUUUUCUGUGCUAACCACUGGAAACCAAAAGAUGAAUAAGAGAAGGCCCUGCCCUCGUGGGGAAGGAAACGAGACCCCUGCCCCACAACUGCAAGGAACUGAAUUUGGUCAACAACCUGAAUGAUCUUGGAAGCAGAUUUCAUCUGAGAGCCUCCAGAGAACGCAGCCCUACUGACACCUUGAUGUCGUCCUUGUGACACUCUA
rnacentral:lncRNA from 1 species